AAAUGGACGGUAUUUGAGAUCCAUUUUGCUUCUUGCCUUUUCAUUUGCUAUUUAAUGUUAUAGCCAUAAUUUAAUUUUAUUUUUUGGUUGUAUGGAUUAGCUUAUCUGAUUUGCUUGUUUUGUGCAACUGCGAAUGGUUGUUGUCCUUUGACUUAGUUUUGAAGAAUGUGAACCUCAGGCUGUGAGGUAACCUGGGAACUGGGAAGGGUAUGUCUGUCUUGGAAAUGGUUGCAGCAUUCGAGAAGGCAUCCGGGAAGAAAAUCCCUAUUGUGAAGGCAGGUCGACGUCCAGGUGAUGCUGAGAUUGUAUAUGCCUCAACGGAAAAAUGCUGAACGAGAGUUGAAGUGGAAGGCAAAAUAUGGCAUUGACGAGAUGUGCCGGGAUCAAUGGAAUUGGGCCAGCAAGAACUUAUAUGGCUACGAGCCUUCGCAGCCGACUAAGUAACUGACGACUGGUUGACAUGUUGACACAUAGAUGCAUGAGAAGGUGCCUUGCCUUUUUUGUAAAAUGGUAAUAAGUGUGCUAUUAUUUUGACUAAAUGAAUUUACCUCCAUUUUCCGAGGUGAAGAAAGUUGUUUUAUGGUAAUGUUCUGCUUCGAUGCUCUACGAGGUCAAGCAAACAUAUUUAUUUGUUAUGCUACAGCUUAUUUUCUUAUUAAGUCUCUGUUUGUUUCUCA